rnacentral:lncRNA from 1 species
ACAAGGGUAAAAAAAUGCACCAGUGUAGACAUUGUGACUUUAAGAUUGCAGAUCCGUUUGUACUAAGUCGCCAUAUUCUCUCGGUUCAUACAAAGGACCUUCCAUUUAGGUGUAAGAGAUGUAGAAAGGGAUUUCGGCAACAAAGUGAGCUUAAAAAGCAUAUGAAGACCCACAGUGGCCGGAAGGUAUAUCAGUGUGAGUACUGUGAAUAUAGCACUACAGAUGCGUCAGGCUUUAAGCGGCACGUUAUCUCCAUUCAUACGAAAGACUAUCCUCACCGCUGUGAGUACUGCAAGAAAGGAUUCCGAAGACCCUCGGAAAAGAACCAGCACAUAAUGCGACAUCAUAAAGAAGUUGGCCUGCCCUAACCGUACUCUUCACAGCUGUUUGUAGAGAAACUGGCCUUGAAACAGAAAAUUCAUUUAAAAGCCAAUCAGUCUUGUUCACUUACAAUACUGUAUAUUGAUUUAUGCUGUGUACAAAUAGGAUUAUUGCUUCUAGUUGACUUUGUUUUUACGUUUUGUUCAAUAGUGUGUUCUGAAUUCUAUUCAGUUUGUUUAAUACAUGGGAAAAAGCAGCAACAAGUUAGUUGCUUUUACUAAAGUAAUCCCUGAUUCUAUACUGAAGUUUUCUAUCUUAGAAGUUUUAUAUUUAUUUUAAAAUAUUUACCUUGCUUACCUUGAUGGUACUCUUGUAAGACCAGUUAACUCAUGGUAACUCUGCAGUGGUAACUGAAAGGAUUCAUGUGGACUUUUUGUCUCACAAAUUUCUCACAAUUAAAUCGUCAGAGACAUCUAAUGGAAUGGGAGAUUUUUGUAUGGUGAGGUCUCAUGAUAGUAACAUGGAAGUCAUUUAUUUGUCUUGUUUAGUAUUGUAGACUGUAUGACAAUGAAAGUUUUCAUAUGAACUUUUGUGUCCCCAGCAUCGCUGCGUAAAAGAGCAGUGGCUGGGUUUGUGUUUACUUUUCUUUUUGAUUUUUUUUUUCCUUUUUAGUGGAGAAAAUAUACUUUUUUUUUCCUUUAGACUCUUUACAUCUUUUGUCAGUGUAGUAAACUUUUAGAAAACCUUGUUGGAAAUUUUUGCUUGAUCUUGUUGUAUUUUGAUUAUUUUAUCUGUGCUGCUUUGUCUUGGAAUGGUUGUGUGCUCCAAAUGAAAUUUAACUGAAGACUGCAUUUUGGAAUCUCCUAGGGGUAACUUGUGGCUCAUAGGAUCUUUUGCAACUUUAUAUAUGUAAAUGUACCCUGAAUUAUAUAUAUCUAUCUAUAUAUACACAUAUAUAUGUAACAUGUAUCUGUGUGUAUUGCUUAUUUUACAUACUUAUACACACAACCCCCAGUAGUAGUUCUUUAAAAUCUAUAAUGAAAAGUAUUAAAUUUACAGAAACGUGAAAGAUCCAGGGAUGCAUGAGAGAGCAUUUUGUAAGUCUUGCUCUUCAGAGAGACUACUCAGGUGAAGAAUUAGAAGGAAAAUAAGGACACUAGUAUUUUUAAAGAGUAAAGGUAUUUUCUUUUAAAUAUCUUUGGUAAUUGAAAAAUAAUUGAAAAAUAGAGGUUAAGAUGUUUAUAGAUACAAUGUUUUCAUACAGUUUCAACUCCAUGCCUUUAUAUUUUUCUGAAAAGCUAAUGGGUAUCCAGACAUGAAUCCCCCAGUUCUCUCUGAUAAGCCGGAGAGAGAGCUCUUGUCUGACCAAGCGAGGGAGACAGAAAGGGAGUGAUGGCUCCAUGGACCAGAGAACGGGUGCUAAUAAGGACUUAGACUUGGCUAAUUGAGCCUGCUCUGUUAGUUCUUAGUUAACUUGAAAAACUUAACACUCGCUUGUCUUGGAUUACAUGAUAGAGGUGUAGUCCAAGUGUGUGAACAGUCUGAGGCCUCACUCGGAUCCUCACUAAGUCUUUCACAGUUUUGCUUUUGAGAGCUGGCAAUUCGUAACAUACAGGUCUGAUCGCUGAUGAAAUUUGUAAAAAUAAGUUGGACAUUAAGAGUUUUGUUAAGAUGUCUUUUUGGAAAACAGUUUCUAGAGUCCCUGGAAUUGGCUGUUGGCACACGGGUCUGGCACAUCACGGGAAACUUAGAAGUUUCUUCCCACUCGAUAGCUGCCUUGCUGCCUCAUUAUGGUGCUCCAUCCCUUUCGUGCCGUUAGUUUUUACCUUCCACCCUUCUCUUUGUCAUCAAGAUUUGUAUUCAAAAGUUAUAUUUUUGGGGUUAGAUGUCUUGAGUAUUUGGUGUUUGGCAAACCUCUGAAGUGCUAGAUUGAUUUAGUCUAGUUCUAAAUCAAAUUCUUAAGGCUGGUAUGAACUCCAUUCUCAAUGCCAGUCAAUGCCAAGGCAUGGAUUCCCUAGACUUUCCAUCUGAUAAGGGAAUCAUUUUGCCUUUGUAGCCUCCGCAAUGUGCUUUAAAAAAUACAUCAUAACUAUGAUUUGUUUUAUUGCCCUGUUAUUCUUGAAAGCUGUCCUUUUUUUGUGAGAACUUUUAAAAUCUACUUUAUUAUUUUCCCCAGAAGUAACGUAAAACACCUAACAUUGAAAUUUAUGAAAUUUAAAAAUCAUCUACAAUCAGUACAGAACAAAUGAUUGGACUAUUUAACAUAUAUUUUUUUAAAUAAACUGAAAAAUAAGGAACACAACACUUUACAUACUUUAUAUUUCUCUUUACAUAAUCUGGAACCACACGCAGUUCUUUUCUUUUUAAAGCACAAUAUUGAAGCCUUUAAAAGGUAUUUAAGGGUUUGGUCAAGUGAAUAGAAAAUGUGUCUGUAUAAAAAGAAAAUGAAGUAGUCACUGUUAUGUACUGACAUUAGUUACAACCUAGUUUUAAUUCUUAAAACAAUUUUGAUUAGCAAAGCUAAAAAAGGAUGUUUCAGUUAAAUGUUUUAAAGAGGUACAGAUUUUUACAAGGACAUAAUAUAAGUUAUUGUUCUGUAGAAAUAUCCUAUUAAAUAUUGUAUGUCCCUCCCUCUGUAUACUUUGUAAAAAAAGUAAAAUACAUAAAAAGGAAAUCAUAUAGGGGAUGUGUGACAUUAUUGUAAUUGUGUACUUGAGAAUAACGUGCAAAAAUAAAAAUCAGAAUAUUUUCCUGUUAACGAAUGUUCAGUCUAUUUGAUACCAGUACUAAGUUAAAGCUUUUUCUUAAGAAAGAAAAUGUACAGUUUUUGUAAACCUAAUAAACAUCAAAAGCAGUGGAUUAUUUUCAUCCCCUAUUUCUUAAUUCCUUUUAUGCAGCAGUGGAAUGCAAAGUGCUUGGUUGCUUUGAAUUUUGUGACUUGGAUGCAAAUACUGAUAUUUCAGUCCUGUGAAUUUGCAAGUAACAUUGAGAAGUUAAGAGGUGAUUGGUGAGUCCUUUGAUGAGCAUGUCCUUGAAAUUCAUUUUUUCCUUUAUCUCUGUAAAUGGUUCGUUUUAUUAGCAUCUGAUUCCUGUUAUAAAUUGCCCAUCCAUAAAGUGGGUUUUGAAAGCACUUAAGAUUUGUUUUAUUAUCAAUUCAUAACAAAUUUAGUCUGAGGUCCUACCUUAAGUUCCCCAUUUGUGCCCAGGUUAGAUGCCUCUAGUAGACUCAAAUCUUGGAGGAUGGUCACUGUGGUAGUGAAAGUCAGGAAUCCUGAGAGAUGUGCAGCACUUCGAUUUUAACAAUGAGAUUCUGUAAUCCAGAAACUAGUGUUGGUCUAAGAGAGCUGAGAUGACAAGUAGCCAAAACUUGAGGUACAUGUCUAUGAGAAUGUGGUGGACGUCAGUCAAGUCAGUCAGUCACGAGUCUGAGAAAACCUGAUCUCACUCAUUCUGCUAAAAUGUGCUGCCCUAUUGUCGCUGGGGAUCUCUGUAUUAAUUUCCUGCAAAAUCUUACGUUUGUGUAAGGAAACGCAAGAUCAGUCAGCAUCUUAAAGAGAAUCCAUGACAGAAUAAUGCCUGUCAGCAAGGUAGUCUGCCCUCUUAGUCCAGUCCUCAGGGAAGUGGGACAAGGCAUGAGCCCCGGCAGCCUUUAAUUCUGCUGCCUGCUCAACUUCAGUGAUAGUGAUCUUAGAGCACUUGAGGAGCCUAAAGAUUACUUAGGUGAUGGUUCGUGUAGUAGUCAAGAAGCUCACCAAAAGCAGCUAGUGAUGGCACAGUGAGAGUAAGUUAGAAUCCAGAGACUUUUUGGCUUUACCGUUUUUGUAAAAGUCUUGAGUCCUAUCAGUCACUAAGUACAUCCUUCAGUGCACAUCUGAACAGCUUGUACCUCCUACUCUUACGUAGCCCCCAAUGUUGCAUUCCUCAAACACAGGAAGACUUGAUAAGUAAAGAGAAGGACUGAAAAUUGUGUGUUCUCGUGUGUGUUUAAUUGGCCCAGAGUUACUAAGGUAAUUCAUAUUAAAAAGGACAUUUUGCUGCAUUUUACAACUUUUUAGGAGGUCAAAGUUAAGUUUGCCCUAUGAAUUUUGUUUUUAUCUUUUGUUUCAUGUAUAUAUUGUUUGCCUUUUUCAUAAAAAUAAUUCUUGGAUUUGUUAUAUAUUGUUCCUGUUAUUUUUGACAUCUUUGCUAUUGUAAAUAAAUUCCUAUUUUGUUUUAAGUU